ensembl:misc_RNA Metazoa_SRP Metazoan signal recognition particle RNA
GCCGGGCGCGAUGGCGCGUGCCUGUAGUACCAGCUACUCGGGUGGCUGAGGUGGGAGGAUCACUUGAGCCCAGGAGUUCUGGGCUGUAGUGCGCUACGCUGAUCAGGCGUCCGCACUAAGUUCGGCAUCAAUAUGGUGACCUCCCGGGAGCGGGGUACCACCAGGUUGCCUAAGGAGGGGUGAGACGGACCAGGUUGGAAACAGAGCAGGUCAAAACUCCCAUGCUGAUCAGUAGUGGGAUCGCGCCUGUGAAUAGCCACUGCACUCCAGCCUAGGCAACAUAGCAAGACCUCGUCUCU